GAACCAGUACCGUGAGGGAAAGGCGAAAAGAACCCCGGCGAGGGGAGUGAAAAAGAACCUGAAACCGUGUACGUACAAGCAGUGGGAGCACGCUUAGGCGUGUGACUGCGUACCUUUUGUAUAAUGGGUCAGCGACUUAUAUUCUGUAGCAAGGUUAACCGAAUAGGGGAGCCGAAGGGAAACCGAGUCUUAACUGGGCGUUAAGUUGCAGGGUAUAGACCCGAAACCCGGUGAUCUAGCCAUGGGCAGGUUGAAGGUUGGGUAACACUAACUGGAGGACCGAACCGACUAAUGUUGAAAAAUUAGCGGAUGACUUGUGGCUGGGGGUGAAAGGCCAAUCAAACCGGGAGAUAGCUGGUUCUCCCCGAAAGCUAUUUAGGUAGCGCCUCGUGAAUUCAUCUCCGGGGGUAGAGCACUGUUUCGGCAAGGGGGUCAUCCCGACUUACCAACCCGAUGCAAACUGCGAAUACCGGAGAAUGUUAUCACGGGAGACACACGGCGGGUGCUAACGUCCGUCGUGAAGAGGGAAACAACCCAGACCGCCAGCUAAGGUCCCAAAGUCAUGGUUAAGUGGGAAACGAUGUGGGAAGGCCCAGACAGCCAGGAUGUUGGCUUAGAAGCAGCCAUCAUUUAAAGAAAGCGUAAUAGCUCACUGGUCGAGUCGGCCUGCGCGGAAGAUGUAACGGGGCUAAACCAUGCACCGAAGCUGCGGCAGCGACGCUUAUGCGUUGUUGGGUAGGGGAGCGUUCUGUAAGCCUGCGAAGGUGUGCUGUGAGGCAUGCUGGAGGUAUCAGAAGUGCGAAUGCUGACAUAAGUAACGAUAAAGCGGGUGAAAAGCCCGCUCGCCGGAAGACCAAGGGUUCCUGUCCAACGUUAAUCGGGGCAGGGUGAGUCGACCCCUAAGGCGAGGCCGAAAGGCGUAGUCGAUGGGAAACAG
rnacentral:rRNA from 1 species